rnacentral:rRNA from 1 species
AUGGACGUCAAGCCCGGCGACGUGCCGCGCGUGCUCGAGCGCUACCCGGAGCUCCUCGGCUUCAAGCUCGAGGGCACCAUGAGCACCUCCGUCGCCUACCUCGUCGGCAUCGGCGUCGCCAGGCGGCAGAUCGGCGGCGUCAUCUGGGUAGCGAUUUCUGGUCGUGAAGGGGGUCGACGCCGGCCGUUGGAGCCGAACCAACAGCGAAGCGGGCGCACGACCGCACGAGGGCACCGCCGUAGCAUCCGAUUCUUCCCACAUGAUCCAACCCCGCCUGCCGGCUCGGCUCGUGGGAUGGGAGCAUCAUCCCGCGCCCGCCCGCCCGCACCGCCGCACGAGCCGGGCACGUAA